UUCACAUCACACAAGGCAUAUAAAAUCCAUCAGAAGAGUUGUUCAUAGAGACUACGGGUCAUAUGCUGGCUAGAGCUACUAAUAAGCAAAGAUAAAUUGAGCCUCUUAGCUUAUCGUGUUUCCAUGCAUUUAUUCAAAACUGAUCUUGUAUAAGGGGAAUGUUCAGCAAUUGCAUUGCUCUGCUGCAGUCAAUGGUGUAUUUGGCUACCAAUUCUGAACGGUUUGGCUUCGGAGGCCUGGAACUCCUCACCCCCAAGAGAAAACCGGACUGUGGGAAGCUACUUUGAACAUUCUAUAUACACAUCUAAAUCUAACUCAACAAUUCUAACUCGAUAAAAGUACACCCUUAUGGAGAGGACCUGGGCAUAAGCUAUGCCAAAUAUAAAAAUGAAUAUGGCUCCCCAAAUUUGUGGGCCAAUAAAUCUGCCUUUUACAGAAAGAUGAAAUAUCUAAGUAAGAAUUUCUGAAAAACCUCAAUGUGAAAAACUUCUACCUGGCUUUGGAGAAAAGCCAAACAACCCAGUAGAGAGGUAAGUGGUUUGGUAAAAGACAAGCCACAUUUGAGUCAAAAAGCCUGAGUCUGAGCCUCAGCUUUGCUAGUUGUGUGAUCUUGGGUAUGUCACUUAACCUCUUUAAGCUUCAAAAUUGUCAUCUAUAACAUGAGGCCAAGAAUGACUGGCUCACAGGGCUGUUGUGGGGAUUAAAAGAGAUAAGAUAUGUAAAAGCCAUUGGUAAUUUAUAAGAUGCUAGAAAUACAAAGAUUUUUAUUGUAUUCAAAAUGAUUCUAUAUUUGUUCAUAUCUAAGAAUUUACAGAUCAUGGUAGCAUUGCCUCCUGUAUAAGUCAUUUCACAAAUAUACAUGGGCAACUAACUGUCCUUAGCCACCAAUAAAUCAGGGUUAAUUUUGUAUUUUUUGUUUUCCUUUUAAAGUUUCUCUGUGGCUAUAAUGAUUUACAUGUCCCACUAUUAAUCUGAAGGUCAUAUGUUCAGGGACAAGCUUUACUGUGAAAUUCUGUGCCUUGCCUGGUUCUUGUAAUCUGCUUUUGGGAAGCUAUAUGGAAGGCUUGAGAGUCUGAUACACUGAGUUCAAAUCAUAACUGUGCUACUUAAACUGUGUGACCUUGGACAAGUUAUAUAACUUCCCUAAGCCUCCUUUCAACUGUAAAAUAAUGAAAAUGGUUUCUACUUCAUGAAGUUGCUUCACAGAUUAAAUGAAUAAAUGUAUGUAAGGUACUUCAGAUAGUGCUUGGCACACAAGAUCACUGAAUACUUAUUACUAGAUGCAAGAAAAUCAAAUAAGCUAAUGUUUCCAUUUCCUAAUCUUUCACAGGUGAAUAUGUAUAGAUACCAUUUACAUCUGGAAAUUGGAGAUUUAUCUCCCUCUGCUCUUCCCCUCUUUAUUAUAUAAGUGGAUAUUUG
rnacentral:lncRNA from 10 species